UGUUUAGUUACUGUUGCCUGACAGAAUGGUGACUUUUCGAUUUUGUUUGAGUGGUUUUUAAAAAUUGAAAUCAUGAACACUUUCCACGCUGCGCCUUGGUCUACUCUUUCUACCACCAACGAGAGCUGUUACAGUGAAAUGCUUACUGGUAAACUCUUCCUCAACAAUGCAAUACUCAAUAUUAAAGGCCAGAGAAGCUCUGUGGGGGACAGGUGUAGGAGCUCCGAUGUAUAUACUCCCACAACAACCAGUACAUCUGUCAGAUCGAUUACCGCGUGUCCUGCCGGGACCUGAUCCGGACCAGGAGGCACAACAUCUGGUCCCAGCUGACUCUUGGUUCUAACAGCGGUGGCGUGUGUCUCAGCACUGCUGUUCGUGUGUCACACUUUCUCUGCAGCGGAUCUUCAAGUACAAGAACACCCCCAAUGUAGAUCCUGACAGCAUAGGCACUGCUGUAUUGUCUGGACUCUACACCCACAUAGAUCCACAGCACAUAGACAAUGCAACCAACGCUCCAGUUAGCUUGACCAUAGAUGAGUACAUAGAGAUGGACGUCAUUGGCCAAGCCGGUCACUAUCAGAGCCUGGUAUCAACCACCAAUUAGAUCACUAUCUGGCAGAGUCAAAAGUUGUCCACCAAUUAGAUCACUGUAUAGAGAAGAGUCAAAAGUUGAAAUCUACUGCGUGCUAUUCUAUUGUCUUCUAUUCUACACCCAUCAUCUGUCUGUAAUGCAGUAACUUCGAUGAACUGACAGGGUGUGCUGUUUGUUUUGGAGUGAUGGAGUGACAUGAGUGAGAGAGGAAGGGGAAAAGGAAGUGAGAGAUGGGAGGAACUAGUUAGGCAGAGAGAGAGCAAAACAGAAAGAAAUGGGAGGAACUAGUAAGAGGCAGAGGGGGGGGGGGGGGUAGAAAG